CGUUAAGUUGCAGGGUAUAGACCCGAAACCCGGUGAUCUAGCCAUGGGCAGGUUGAAGGUUGGGUAACACUAACUGGAGGACCGAACCGACUAAUGUUGAAAAAUUAGCGGAUGACUUGUGGCUGGGGGUGAAAGGCCAAUCAAACCGGGAGAUAGCUGGUUCUCCCCGAAAGCUAUUUAGGUAGCGCCUCGUGAAUUCAUCUCCGGGGGUAGAGCACUGUUUCGGCAAGGGGGUCAUCCCGACUUACCAACCCGAUGCAAACUGCGAAUACCGGAGAAUGUUAUCACGGGAGACACACGGCGGGUGCUAACGUCCGUCGUGAAGAGGGAAACAACCCAGACCGCCAGCUAAGGUCCCAAAGUCAUGGUUAAGUGGGAAACGAUGUGGGAAGGCCCAGACAGCCAGGAUGUUGGCUUAGAAGCAGCCAUCAUUUAAAGAAAGCGUAAUAGCUCACUGGUCGAGUCGGCCUGCGCGGAAGAUGUAACGGGGCUAAACCAUGCACCGAAGCUGCGGCAGCGACACUGUGUGUUGUUGGGUAGGGGAGCGUUCUGUAAGCCUGUGAAGGUGUGCUGUGAGGCAUGCUGGAGGUAUCAGAAGUGCGAAUGCUGACAUAAGUAACGAUAAAGCGGGUGAAAAGCCCGCUCGCCGGAAGACCAAGGGUUCCUGUCCAACGUUAAUCGGGGCAGGGUGAGUCGACCCCUAAGGCGAGGCCGAAAGGCGUAGUCGAUGGGAAACAGGUUAAUAUUCCUGUACUUGGUGUUACUGCGAAGGGGGGACGGAGAAGGCUAUGUUGGCCGGGCGACGGUUGUCCCGGUUUAAGCGUGUAGGCUGGUUUUCCAGGCAAAUCCGGAAAAUCAAGGCUGAGGCGUGAUGACGAGGCACUACGGUGCUGAAGCAACAAAUGCCCUGCUUCCAGGAAAAGCCUCUAAGCAUCAGGUAACAUCAAAUCGUACCCCAAACCGACACAGGUGGUCAGGUAGAGAAUACCAAGGCGCUUGAGAGAACUCGGGUGAAGGAACUAGGCAAAAUGGUGCCGUAACUUCGGGAGAAGGCACGCUGAUAUGUAGGUGAAGUCCCUCGCGGAUGGAGCUGAAAUCAGUCGAAGAUACCAGCUGGCUGCAACUGUUUAUUAAAAACACAGCACUGUGCAAACACGAAAGUGGACGUAUACGGUGUGACGCCUGCCCGGUGCCGGAAGGUUAAUUGAUGGGGUCAGCGCAAGCGAAGCUCUUGAUCGAAGCCCCGGUAAACGGCGGCCGUAACUAUAACGGUCCUAAGGUAGCGAAAUUCCUUGUCGGGUAAGUUCCGACCUGCACGAAUGGCGUAAUGAUGGCCAGGCUGUCUCCACCCGAGACUCAGUGAAAUUGAACUCGCUGUGAAGAUGCAGUGUACCCGCGGCAAGACGGAAAGACCCCGUGAACCUUUACUAUAGCUUGACACUGAACAUUGAGCCUUGAUGUGUAGGAUAGGUGGGAGGCUUUGAAGUGUGGACGCCAGUCUGCAUGGAGCCGACCUUGAAAUACCACCCUUUAAUGUUUGAUGUUCUAACGUGGACCCGUGAUCCGGGUUGCGGACAGUGUCUGGUGGGUAGUUUGACUGGGGCGGUCUCCUCCUAAAGAGUAACGGAGGAGCACGAAGGUUGGCUAAUCCUGGUCGGACAUCAGGAGGUUAGUGCAAUGGCAUAAGCCAGCUUGACUGCGAGCGUGACGGCGCGAGCAGGUGCGAAAGCAGGUCAUAGUGAUCCGGUGGUUCUGAAUGGAAGGGCCAUCGCUCAACGGAUAAAAGGUACUCCGGGGAUAACAGGCUGAUACCGCCCAAGAGUUCAUAUCGACGGCGGUGUUUGGCACCUCGAUGUCGGCUCAUCACAUCCUGGGGCUGAAGUAGGUCCCAAGGGUAUGGCUGUUCGCCAUUUAAAGUGGUACGCGAGCUGGGUUUAGAACGUCGUGAGACAGUUCGGUCCCUAUCUGCCGUGGGCGCUGGAGAACUGAGGGGGGCUGCUCCUAGUACGAGAGGACCGGAGUGGACGCAUCACUGGUGUUCGGGUUGUCAUGCCAAUGGCACUGCCCGGUAGCUAAAUGCGGAAGAGAUAAGUGCUGAAAGCAUCUAAGCACGAAACUUGCCCCGAGAUGAGUUCUCCCUGACCCUUUAAGGGUCCUGAAGGAACGUU
rnacentral:rRNA from 1 species